rnacentral:lncRNA from 1 species
GGCAGGCACCAGAAGAGCUAGCAGCCAAUCCGGCCAUGCUCGAAGCCAGCUCUGCAGCUCAGCCAAUCAGUGACAUCAUUGCUUUCUUUAGCUUGCCCAUGGUGAUGUGAAGAUGAGAAGAAAUAGCAAGGCCCAACCAGUUCUUCAUCUGGAGACAGUUCAACGUUCUGCAAACCAGAUCUUCAGGAAUUUUACUGGGAUAAUUAUCCAAAUAAAUUGCAAGCAUUCUAUCCAAAUGAAACUUACAACCAAGUUGAAAAGACAAGAGCCAUAAAAUAAAAUAAUAGCAAAUUAAUAUAAAACCUGGAUAAAGAAUGUAAUAACUAGAUGACCAAUUUGAGAGUGCUUAUUGGGACUUAUGAAGAAAAAGAAAUUGAAAAAAGGAGCUCUUUCUGAGAUGAAGAGAAUUCUCAAUGUCAAGAUUUGAACAAGAAGAGAAUGGAAUACACAAUAUGGACAUCCAUAAAAAUUCAUCAGAGAGCAUUUUACUACUGAGCUGCAAAGGGAAAAACUUAAAAUGGAUAUGAAAAGUGAAGAAAGUGAUCAUAGGAGAAAACCAUUUCAGGUAAAAAUAAAAAACAAAGAGCAAAUAAGAUUUACUGUUUUUAAAGAAAAACAACAUUCUUUUGACUGUGUUUUGUUAUAAGAAUUAAUUUCAUAUUCUUUAUGAGUGUAACUGUUGAAAUUUUAUUGAUGGUUUUCAUUUGAAAAUGUGUGCUAUGACCUACCUUUGUGAAAAAUUUCUUGUGGUCAAUUGGGCAGUUUGUGUCCCAUUGAAUAUAUGUCUGUGUAUCCAUACGCUUAAGAUAGGUGCAAUACGGUUUACUAGAAAGCUUUAUAGGAAAAGAAAAAAA